AGGUGUUGGUGGUAUCAACCCCGCCAGUGCCGAAGCUAACGCAUUAAGUGUCCCGCCUGGGGAGUACGGCCGCAAGGCUAAAACUCAAAGGAAUUGACGGGGGCCCGCACAAGCAGCGGAGCGUGGGGUUUAAUUCGAUGCAACGCGAAGAACCUUACCAGGGCUUGACAUGACCAGGACAACGGCGGAAACGUCGUCUUCCCGCAAGGGACCUGGCCACAGGUGUUGCAUGGCUGUCGU
rnacentral:rRNA from 1 species